rnacentral:rRNA from 1 species
GGGUUGUGAGGUUAAGCGACUAAGCGUACACGGUGGAUGCCCUGGCAGUCAGAGGCGAUGAAGGACGUGCUAAUCUGCGAUAAGCGCCGGUAAGGUGAUAUGAACCGUUAUAACCGGCGAUUUCCGAAUGGGGAAACCCAGUGUGACUCGUCACACUAUCAUUAACUGAAUCCAUAGGUUAAUGAGGCGAACCGGGGGAACUGAAACAUCUAAGUACCCCGAGGAAAAGAAAUCAACCGAGAUUCCCCCAGUAGCGGCGAGCGAACGGGGAGGAGCCCAGAGCCUGAAUCAGCAUGUGUGUUAGUGGAAGCGUCUGGAAAGGCGCGCGAUACAGGGUGACAGCCCCGUACACAAAAGCGCAUGUGCUGUGAGCUCGAUGAGUAGGGCGGGACACGUGGUAUCCUGUCUGAAUAUGGGGGGACCAUCCUCCAAGGCUAAAUACUCCUGACUGACCGAUAGUGAACCAGUACCGUGAGGGAAAGGCGAAAAGAACCCCGGCGAGGGGAGUGAAAAGCACCUGAAACCGUGUACGUACAAGCAGUUGGAGGAAACCGAGUCUUAACCGGGCGUUAAGUUGCAGGGUAUAGACCCGAAACCCGGUGAUCUAGCCAUGGGCAGGUUGAAGGUUGGGUAACACUAACUGGAGGACCGAACCGACUAAUGUUGAAAAAUUAGCGGAUGACCUGUGGCUGGGGGUGAAAGGCCAAUCAAACCGGGAGAUAGCUGGUUCUCCCCGAAAGCUAUUUAGGUAGCGCCUCGUGAAUUCAUCUCCGGGGUAGAGCACUGUUUCGGCUAGGGGGCCAUCCCGGCUUACCAACCCGAUGCAAACUGCGAAUACCGGAGAAUGUUAUCACGGGAGACACACGGCGGGUGCUAACGUCCGUCGUGAAGAGGGAAACAACCCAGACCGCCAGCUAAGGUCCCAAAGUCAUGGUUAAGUGGGAAACGAUGUGGGAAGGCCCAGACGAUGUUGGCUUAGAAGCAGCCAUCAUUUAAAGAAAGCGUAAUAGCUCACUGGUCGAGUCGGCCUGCGCGGAAGAUGUAACGGGGCUAAACCAUGCACCGAAGCUGCGGCAGCGACGCUUAUGCGUUGUUGGGUAGGGGAGCGUUCUGUAAGCCUGCGAAGGUGGCCUGUGAGGGUUGCUGGAGGUAUCAGAAGUGCGAAUGCUGACAUAAGUAACGAUAAAGCGGGUGAAAAGCCCGCUCGCCGGAAGACCAAGGGUUCCUGUCCAACGUUAAUCGGGGCAGGGUGAGUCGACCCCUAAGGCGAGGCCGAAAGGCGUAGUCGAUGGGAAACGGGUUAAUAUUCCCGUACUUGGUGUUACUGCGAAGGGGGGACGGAGAAGGCUAUGUUGGCCGGGCGACGGUUGUCCCGGUUUAAGCGUGUAGGUGUGUGUUCGUAAAUCCGGUUCACUUUAACACUGAGGCGUGACGACGAGGCACUACGGUGCUGAAGCAACAAAUGCCCUGCUUCCAGGAAAAGCCUCUAAGCAUCAGGUAACAUCAAAUCGUACCCCAAACCGACACAGGUGGUCAGGUAGAGAAUACCAAGGCGCUUGAGAGAACUCGGGUGAAGGAACUAGGCAAAAUGGUGCCGUAACUUCGGGAGAAGGCACGCUGACACGUAGGUGAAGUGAUUUACUCAUGGAGCUGAAGUCAGUCGAAGAUACCAGCUGGCUGCAACUGUUUAUUAAAAACACAGCACUGUGCAAACACGAAAGUGGACGUAUACGGUGUGACGCCUGCCCGGUGCCGGAAGGUUAAUUGAUGGGGUCAGCGCAAGCGAAGCUCCUGAUCGAAGCCCCGGUAAACGGCGGCCGUAACUAUAACGGUCCUAAGGUAGCGAAAUUCCUUGUCGGGUAAGUUCCGACCUGCACGAAUGGCGUAAUGAUGGGGCUGUCUCCACCCGAGACUCAGUGAAAUUGAACUCGCUGUGAAGAUGCAGUGUACCCGCGGCAAGACGGAAAGACCCCGUGAACCUUUACUAUAGCUUGACACUGAACAUUGAGCCUUGAUGUGUAGGAUAGGUGGGAGGCUUUGAAGUGUGGACGCCAGUCUGCAUGGAGCCGACCUUGAAAUACCACCCUUUAAUGUUUGAUGUUCUAACGUGGACCCGUUACCCGGGUUGCGGACAGUGUCUGGUGGGUAGUUUGACUGGGGCGGUCUCCUCCUAAAGAGUAACGGAGGAGCACGAAGGUUGGCUAAUCCUGGUCAGGUCAUAGUGAUCCGGUGGUUCUGAAUGGAAGGGCCAUCGCUCAACGGAUAAAAGGUACUCCGGGGAUAACAGGCUGAUACCGCCCAAGAGUUCAUAUCGACGGCGGUGUUUGGCACCUCGAUGUCGGCUCAUCACAUCCAGUAGGUCCCAAGGGUAUGGCUGUUCGCCAUUUAAAGUGGUACGCGAGCUGGGUUUAGAACGUCGUGAGACAGUUCGGUCCCUAUCUGCCGUGGGCGCUGGAGAACUGAGGGGCCUAGUACGAGAGGACCGGAGUGGACGCAUCACUGGUGUUCGGGUUGUCAUGCCAAUGGCACUGCCCGGUAGCUAAAUGCGGAAGAGAUAAGUGCUGAAAGCAUCUAAGCACGAAACUUGCCCCGAGAUGAGUUCUCCCUGAGACUUUAGGUCUCCUGAAGGAACGUUGAAGACGACGACGUUGAUAGGCCGGGUGUGUAAGCGCAGCGAUGCGUUGAGCUAACCGGUACUAAUGAACCGUGAGGCUUAACCUUACAACGCCGAAG